CGUAGGGAGCAAGCGUUGUCCGGAAUCAUUGGGCGUAAAGAGCGCGUAGGCGGUCCGGUACGUCGGUUGUGAAAACUGGGGGCUCAACCCUCAGACGCCGACCGAUACUGUCGGGCUAGAGUCCGGAAGAGGCGAGUGGAAUUCCUGGUGUAGCGGUGAAAUGCGCAGAUAUCAGGAGGAACACCAAUGGCGAAGGCAGCUCGCUGGGACGGUACUGACGCUGAGGCGCGAAAGCGUGGGGAGCAAACAGG
rnacentral:rRNA from 1 species